AGCUAAAGGGUGCAGAAGUGAGAAUUGAGAUUACAAUUUGGGUAAACACAAAAAUUAAAAUUGAGAUUAGAUUACAAUAACAUAAGCUAUUUGAGGUUGGUUGGUGUUGGCUGGCCCUACGCACUCCAAUUAUACCAUUCUCCAACGCGGUGAGAAAUAUCUGCUGGCCCCACCCUAAUGAUAAUGAUCCUACGGCGGGGAUUCACCCCUCUCUUUUUAAACCAAAAUCUACGGUCAGGAUUCACUCCCACUAACAACCCUCCGUACUCCUCCAACACGUACCCUCGACAAAUCAUCUCCGCCCAUUUCUCUACUGACACGUAUGUACAUAGUUCAUUUGAUUACACAAUAUCAGUGUGAGCGAACUACCUGAUUUCCCCUCCUUUUUAUUUCCAUUUUUUUAAAAUUUUGUUUGCGUCCUGAAAGAUCUCGAUCCAUUGUGUGUUUCCUCCGCAAUAAAAACAAACCGCGAGUGGGAGAUUUUGAUUUAACUGAUUAGAUCAUUUCCAUCCCAACCUCACUGCUCAUCGAUCGGUCGGAUUGGAUCGAUCUUCUUUUUCUCUUGUUUUGUUCUUCUUCUUCUUCUUCUUCUUCUUCUUUUUUUUUUUUUUUCUAUUUUGUUUGUUUUGAUUCAUCUGUUCAUAUCGAUUUCCCGUUUUAUAUUCUUGUUUUUGAAGAAUGGUUGCGACGGUCGCCGUCGUCGCCGACUCGCGGCACUGUUUGAUUUGUCUUCAGAAGCUUUUGAUUACGUGUUGUCGGCACUGUUACCGACGUCCUGCAUGGAGGAGAGAGAAUCGAGUUUUUUCUUUUUCCUUUUUUUUUUUGGUUUAUUUAAUUGCUUAUUUAUUUCGUACUGAACCUAAAAACCCUAAUUAAUUUCCGGUAUCUUCAGAAAAUGUCUGUGCCUUCAUGAAAUAUUAUGUUGAUGAUUUGAAUUUUGAGCGGCUUUAUGUUGUUUCAUACUCUGGAUCUGGCUCUUAUCGUCUUCUUCAUCAUUAUCGGAUGAUUCCGAUCUCUCUCUCUCUCUCUCUCGUCUCGCUCUGCGGAUUUCUAUGUGUAUACGCGGUUUUUUUUUUUUUUUUUUGUCUCCGUUAUACAUGUGAAAGAUUCUUUGCUGAAAAUAUUUGUUUAUCGUUCUUGAAUUUGUUUAGUCCUUCACCGUCCCUUGGAUAAUUUGACAGAAGAGAGUGAGCACCCAGAGGCAGUUGCUAUAAAGUGUAUACCAAUACUUUUGCGUGCUCACUUCUCUCUCUGUCAGAUUCGUUAAACGGAUCGAGUUUCACAAUUAUUCUCCAUCGAUUUUUUCUGUUUUAGAUUUUAUAUUCUUUUAUGGAUUAGUGAAAUGGUUAUUGGACUCAGAAUUGUAUGAAUCGUAUUUCUGCAGUGUUGUUUCUUUAGAAGCGUUGCUUUUCAUGUUGCUCACUGGCCGGUAUUAUGGCCACGAUCGUGAGAGAAUACUGUAUAACGGGACCUCUCUCAAGCCUACACAGUAUAGGCUGGUCCUCUCCUAAUCGGUAUCUCUCUUUCUUUCUCUCUCUCGCGCUACACUUUUUUUGUUUCUCAUGUUAAACUCUUUGUCAUUUGAUGUACUAAUUUAUUAUUAUUACGCGCAUGCUUUUGAUUUAAAUUCAUAACAUCGGUGUCUGUUUUCUCCUAGAGUAUGGCUGAUGGGAGCUUCUCUCGUUAAAUUUAAUACUCCCUAUGUUACCUAGAAAAUGAAUGCCAUUGUUAUUACUGUAUUAAUAAUGGAGAAUUUUCUAAUCUAAUUUCCGGUCAUGUUUUUAUGAUUACUAUGACUUACAAUGCAUUAGUUAAUUGAAGAAACCUAUCUAUAAUUACGUAAUUUGUAAAAUAGCAAGGCCUAUUAGCCUUUUUCUUUCUUCUUCUUUUUGUAUUUGUAGGAAAUCGCUAUUCGUUGAAUCUUAAGACCUUUGCACGCCACACUAUUUUAAAUUGGCUGAAUGAAUUUCCCCAUCACAAUAGUUUUAGAUCCUAAAAUUUCUGAUUUCACUGUGUAAAGUAACCUUUUUCCCCUUCUCGUGGCUUAGUGAUGGUGAUAUUUUACUUUUUGGGUUGAAUCUUUAAAAUUUUGAUAGCAAAAUGUCAGGUUUAUUGUGCGCGUUUUAAUUGAGUAGCUGUUCAAUGCUCGAGAAUUUCCUUGUUUUUCGAAGUUUAAUGUGCAUAUGUUGAGGUGACGUUUUUGCGCAAUUAUGUCAAUUUUCCUCAUUAGAGUAAUAAUUGUUCGUAGGACGACGUUGGACAAAAUACUACAUUAGGGAACAAUAAUUUUUCAUACCCAUCAAGGGAAUUUGAUGUGUAGUUACUCAGCUUAGGCGUCACAUUACUCUUCAAUUUUUUUAAAUUUGCUUCAUAUGUAACUGCCACUUCUACUGAUAAAGAAUAUUUUGUAUUAAAUGCAAACUUUUAAAGGCUAUAGGAUUGUUGUAGAUACAAGUUUUUGAAUAAAGCUAACUAGUAAAUGCCCUUUUUAUGAUAAUUUAAAUGCUAUUAUAUGCUCUAUUUAAAUAUUUUCUAUCUAGAUCUUCUAUGUUCAUAUAUUUAAUAAUUUGAUGGAAUCUUAGAUAAUUAAAUCAAGUUUCUCUGUGACUAAAAUUUAGUUCAUCCAUCAAAGAAAUAUCACUUCUUUAGUGUGCGAUAAGAAAAUGAAUAGAGGUGAAAUACUGAAUUUUAACUUCCAAACAUCACGAUAUAGAAUGCAGGUAGCUAGUGAACAAUUGCUAGCUGGAUAAAAAAAUUGUGUUGUUUUUUGCUUUAUUUAUUCUUAUUAUAUUGGCCGGUUGUUUCUUCAUGUUGAGGUGAUGGAUUCCUCUUAUGUUCCUUGUAAUCUAUUGGUGACAUGUGAAUCAUUUUUCUUCUAUAGGUUAUCAUUCCAUGUGUGUCUAAAUUUUACAUUUUAGAAAUUGUUUUGCAUUUUUUUCCAUCAUAUAUGAGAGACAUGGUAAGAGAGUUAUAUAUAGGCAGAUCAAGUUCAAAGCAGUAGAGGAAGAAAUUGGCAAAGUAUGUAGUUCUGGUAGGAUCAAUAUGCAACCUUGAGAUGGCAUUGUCCGAAAUUUGGAUUCAACCUUGGGAGAUGGUUCUGUCCAACCGGAACCUGCCGUUGACGUGAAAAUCCUAAUCCAGUUUGUAGGGUUGUUUAUUCAAAAGCUGGCCUUUGUGCGCAUACAGUGGACUGUGAAUGGAAAUCUUUUGCCUUCACCUUGGUGUUGCUUCCGUACAGAAUUGACCGAUUAAAAAAAUGAUGGAAUGAGAAAACCUUGAGACAAGUGGAACUACUUAAUUGUCUACAAGGCUCGACACCGUUGAUCUCCGUAGGUUGGAUUACCAAUAUCUCAGUGGGACGACUCAACCGGAGGGUUGUACAAUAGCCAAGAAAACACAGGAAGGUCUAUUUAUUGAUUAUCGUUUAUAAACAUCUUUUUGAUUCCUUAAACAAUCAUGUAGGUCUUCCUCACUUUCAAUCGGACUUUUGGAUGGGGAAGCAGCAAAUAUAAUAGAGGUUAGAUUACCAAUUUCUCAGUGUUGCAACUGUCGAAUGUAUCAGGAAAAUGGCUGGUGAUUUUACUUUGGGAAUAGCUUCGUUACACUUUUUAUGAGAAAUCUGAAAUAAUUGUUUUUAAUUA